rnacentral:rRNA from 1 species
UGUUGGGGGGUUUCCGCCCCUCAGUGCUGCAGGCUAACGCAUUAAGCACUCCGCCUGGGGAGUACGCACGCAAGUGUGAAACUCAAAGGAAUUGACGGGGGCCCGCACAAGCGGUGGAGCAUGUGGUUUAAUUCGAAGCAACGCGAAGAACCUUACCAGGUCUUGACAUCCCAUUGACCACUAUGGAGACAUAGUUUUCCCUUCGGGGACAACGGUGACAGGUGGUGCAUGGUUGUCGUCAGCUCGUGUCGUGAGAUGUUGGGUUAAGUCCCGCAACGAGCGCAACCCUUGUUCUUAGUUGCCAUCAUUUAGUUGGGCACUCUAAGGAGACUGCCGGUGACAAACCGGAGGAAGGUGGGGAUGACGUCAAAUCAUCAUGCCCCUUAUGACCUGGGCUACACACGUGCUACAAUGGACAAUACAAACGGUUGCCAACCGGCGAGGGGGAGCUAAUCCGAUAAAAUUGUUCUCAGUUCGGAUUGUA